UGUGUUAAGUGUUUGGGCGAUCACGCCA
rnacentral:sRNA from 1 species